rnacentral:lncRNA from 1 species
CACAACCUAGAUUGUGGUAUGGCCACAGAAAUCACACGAGGCCUUUAGAAGGAGCAGAGCUUAAUAUUGUUUUAUAAAAUAUUGAGUCAGGAUAUGAUAAUUAAAUAUCUAAGUCUCUUUUUGAGAAGACAAUAGGUGCAUAGAUGGAUUUGCCUAUUCAAAAUCUUACCAAAUGGACUUGUUGCCUAUCAUAUAUUCUGGAGCAUCCAAACAAUUUUUUUUAAGCUUGGCAUGGUGAACAAGUCAGAGCCAAGACAUGCUUGGAUUAAGCUGUAAUCGCUUUAUAUUGGAGUUUAGGGAAUUAUUUUUUCUCCCUUCUAAUUAAAAAGAAGGCUCUGUUUCCAAGGCCUUGAAGAUCUUAAUGAAGGGUCUCAAUUAAGUCAUAACGGUGUUUAGUGAGGGAAGGGCAUCUCAAUUCCAUGUGCUACAAAAAACCUGAAGACCUUGAUUUGGAUGACUUUUGAGGCUGUAAUAGUAUACAAGAAUCAUUCCUGAAAGGUUUGCCAGUUUGAUGGGAAUAUAGCUCGACUCGAUUGCUUUGCUUAAGAUUUUCUUUUGUUAAUGUUCUUUUUUAGAAUGUAGUUGAGAUAAUAUCAGGGGGUAUCUUUUUAAUUUAGUGGAAGAAUUCCAGAGAGUAGGACCUUAGCUCCAAAAAUAUAGUUUUACUUUGAUUCCAAUGGAAGGGC